rnacentral:rRNA from 1 species
CUUUGCAAGUCUGUUGUGAAAUCCCCCGGCUCAACCGGGGAAUUGCGUUGGAUACUGCAAGGCUAGAGGGCGGUAGAGGUCGGCGGAAUUCCCGGUGUAGGGGUGAAAUCCGUAGAUAUCGGGAGGAACACCAGUGGCGAAGGCGGCCCCCUGGGCUGUUCCUGACGCUGAAGGCGAAAGCUAGGGGAGCGAACGGGAUUAGACACCCCGGUAGUCCUAGCUGUAAACGAUGGAUACUAGGUGUAGGGGGUUAAAAUUCCCUCUGUGCCAAAGCUAACGCGUUAAGUAUCCCGCCUGGGGACUACGGCCGCAAGGCUAAAACUCAAAGGAAUUGACGGGGACCCGCACAAGCAGCGGAGCGUGUGGUUUAAUUCGAUGCGACGCGAAGAACCUUACCAGGGUUUGACAUGCAGGUAGUAGUGAAGCGAAAGCGGAACGAUCCUUCGGGAAGCCUGCACAGGUGCUGCAUGGCUGUCGUCAGCUCGUGCCGUGAGGUGUUAGGUUAAGUCCUGUAACGAGCGCAACCCCCGCCGUUAGUUACAUGUGUCUAACGGGACUGCCCGGUAAAACUGGGAGGAAGGUGGGGACGAAGUCAAGUCAGCAUGGCCUUUAUAUCCUGGGCGACACACACGCUACAAUGGCCGGUACAAUGGGUUGCCAAGCCGCGAGGCGGAGCCAAUCCUCCAAAGCCGGUCUCAGUUCGGAUUGUAGGCUGCAACCCGCCU